GCGACUUUAACCGUUUGGAUCCUGAAAGAAGCAGGCGCAGCACAAUGGAGCUCAGCGAAUGGGUUAACUGAAGCCCUCUAGAGAAGCCACUGGAAUUGUGCAAUUUAGAAGAAAGUACUAGUCUCAAGCAAAGAAAUCCCAUUUAUUUACUAUAGCUUUUGGACUUGCAAAACAUGGCACUACAACCUGAAAAGAAAAAAGGCAGGUCUUUAAGCCUUGCAGGUAUUGCACAAAUCUCAAAUGACAUCUCAAGGAAGUUCUUGGACCGCAGUGACCUGUCAAGACUUUUGCGUAUCACUUCUAGUUCUCUUAAAGACCACAUUCAAGUUCUUGCAGAAUUGGAUAACUUUUUGAUUGCUGACCCGCUUGCCAAAAUAAAAUUGGUUUUUGUGGAGGACACUGUGUUUGUAAAAAACAUCUUUGUAAUAUCCUCCAAUAUGCAAGACAUUUCUCAAAAAUUCCCUGAACAUCUCUAUAUAGAUCUCUUAAGUAAUGUUUGCCCUGGCUUUGACUUGUACACAGUGUCCUGUGAAGAUGGUAACUCGGAUUGGAAGAUAUGUGCCACUUGUAUAUCAAAAGCAAAUAAUUCUGAUGUAUUGCGGUUUUUAGUUGUGUCUGUCUUGCAAAGUAUUCCUAAAAUGAAAUCUCAGAUCAAGUAUAUAACAAUACAUCCAGCAAUAAGAGAUUCCCUAGACAUGGGCACACUUUUACCAAAUGCAACAAUAAGACACUGUAUUUUGUUAAUUGUGCAAGUUGUAGAAAAAAAAAUAUCUCACCUUCAGUUGGCUACCCAGGCUCAAAUUAAAUCAAUAUUUAAUAUUCUGCUCAAUACAAGGUCAUUGAAAGUGUACAAUCGGCACUUAAAUGAGUUAAAGGGACUUUGUCCUGCUGAGGUUUUUCAGUACUACCUUGAUACAUGGCAUCCAAGCAGAAAACAGUGGUAUGCAAAGGACAACAAGAAAGCGAAAACGGAGAAGACAAUUGUUGCUUAUGUUAUGUCUUUGCAUUAUACACUUGGAACAGAAAUUAAUAGUUCAUUUUCAUUAACCGAUUGCCUUCGUGUUAUCCUUAAUGACACUCGUGAAUUAAAAAGCGUGCCAGAUGUUUUACCUUCUGUGGAACCUCAACAUGUGCCUGAAGUACCUUCAACUGUUAAAGAAGAGAUGUUUGAUGAAAAUCCACCAAACGAAUUGGAACACAUGGAGUUCUACAGUUGGGAAGCUUUCCAUUCAUUCUUGAGCGCCUGGUGUAAAGAGCGCAAAGUUAUUUUUGUUAUUCGCCAUUCAGAGCUCCUCACCAGUGAGGAUGUGAACGAAGAGCUGAUUCAGUCUCUUAAGUACAGUGCAGUUAAUCUUGGAUGCACCAGUUACACCAGGAAACGUUGUCCUGCCACAAUUCAUUUGAGAUUGGGACCUGAAAAGGACAAACUCAUAAUUACAAAGGCUGACCUCAAUCACAUCCAUGAUUCUGAAAUUGACCUGCCGUCUCGUUUUACAAGAAAACCAGUGUCUUAUGUGGAAAUCCCUAAGACGGUAUCAUCUGAUGUUAAUGAAGAUAAAUUUAUGGAUAAAAAUGACUUGACAAAGCUUUUACGCUUACACUCUCCACUUAGUGAAUCACAGUUUUUGGAUGAACUCGAAUCUCUCUUUAAUUCAGAUCCAACUGUAAAAGUUAAAAUGGUUUUCUCUGAGGAGAAAUUCAUAGUAAAGAACAUUUUUGUGAUGACUACUGCAAUGCAGAAUUUGCUGCAGCAUUUUCAUGAACAUAUCUUUGUUGACUUCUUUCGUGCUCUAAAUCAAGAAUUUGAUUUAUAUUCUGUCCUUUGCCAGGAUGAAAGUUUUAACUGGAAAGUAUGUGCCUACUGCAUUGCAAGGAAGGAUUCUUCAGAAUCUUUAAAGUUUCUCAUGAAUUCUUUCUUGCAGAGCAAUCCUAAUUUAAGCAAAAAAGUGAAAUAUAUUACAUUAAGUCCAGAAAUACUGAAUCAAGUUGAUACUGAGGUACUGUUUCCAAAUGCUACUGUGAGAUGUUGUCUUCCACUUGUUCUGGACAAAAUGCAUCAUAAAAUUUCUUUUUUAAGUCAAAUGGAGCAAUCACAAAUUAAGAACUUGCUUGUCAAUUUGUCCCAGUCCUCCUCGACUGACAUAUAUCGGCAACAUCUUGGCAACUUGAAAACCGCUUGUCCUGAUGAAGUUUUUCAGUACUAUUAUGACACAUGGCAUCCAUGUUGGAAGUUAUGGUGUGAAAAGGAUAAUAGAACCUCUGAUGUGGAGAACUCAAUUUUUGCUUAUGUGAAAACAAAACAUCAGUAUGUGAAAGGACAAGUGGGGUCAUUAGUUUCCUUACAUCAGUGUUUACAAGCCAUUCUUACAGAGGAUCAGGAAUUUGUAGAAUUCGCCGAAUCAAACCAUGUUGAGAUGUCGGACACAAGUUCAUGGGGUCUACAAACCACCACACCUGUGGAGUUUCAAGAACAAGAGCUGGUUCCUGAUGAAAUUACUCCUGGUGCUAUUCAGAAGGAUUGUGAAAAUAUUUUACGCGAGAAGUUGGAUGGGAAAGAAUUUCAGAGUUGGGAUGAUUUCUGUUGUUUCUUGGAAACCUGUAGUAAAGAUAAAUUCCAGCUACGCGUGUCCUCAUCAUUUACCGAAGAAAGCAAAGGAGAAAUAUUUCCAAUUUCAGACAUGGCUUUGUCAUUGAAAUACAGCUGGGCUCAGCUUUCCUGCAGUUGGAAUGGCUGCUCGGCUUUUGUUGAACUUGCGCUGAGCCCACAAAAAGAUAAACUUAUUAUUACUCAAAGCAAUCUGCAGCAUACUCAUAAUGAUGAAGAAACCACUCUCAGUCCUCCUGCAAAAAAAUGUAAGGUCUCCGCUACAGUAGGUGUGCCAGUGCAAGUUGCAAACAACAUAUCCAGAAAAUUUCUGGAACCAAGUGAUCUAAAACGACUUCUUCGCUUUCGAUCUGGAGCAUUUGAGGACCGUACGCAAGUGCUUGGAGAAUUGGACUCCCUCUUUGUUUCUGACCCUAAUGCAAAAGUUAAACUUGUGUUUGUGGAAGACAAACUGCUUGUUAGCAAAAUAUUCAUAAUGACAUCUUCAAUGAUAGAGCAGGCUCAAAAAUCCCCUGAUUACCUUUUUAUUGAUGUGUGUUUACAGUUUAGUCCGAGUUUUGAUCUGUACACUCUUUAUUGUGAAGAAAAGGGAGCAGGAUGGAAAGUCUGUGCCUAUUGCAUUGCAAAGAAAGGCAUUAUGGAUGUUUUUGAAUUCCUUUCAUGCUCAGUUGUUCAGGUUGUCCCCGCAUUAAUCAACCAGGUGAAACAUGUUACAGUACAUCCUGAAAUCGCUGAACCUCUCAAAGUUGAAACCUAUUUACCACAUGCUUCCACAAGAUAUUGUAUGCAUUUAGUUUUAGAUGUGCUGUAUCAAAAAAUUGCACACCUUGAUACCACAGUAGUAGCUCAGAUUAAGAACUUCCUUCAUAUCCUGUCUCAGACAUGUUCACAUAAAGUAUACAAUGAAUAUUUGAACCAUCUUAAAGUAGUUUGCCCACCUGAGAUAUUCCACUACUAUUAUGACAUGUGGCAUCCACUCAGAAAAAUGUGGGCAAAAAAGGAUAAUAGGAUUGAAGAAGCUGAAAAAAAUAUAUUUGAACUGGUGUCAGUGAAACACGAGGCACUCAAAACUGAGCUGGGUGCUCUUCCCUCUUUGCACCAAUGCCUGUGUGCAGUACUUGGUGAACAACAUAAAGUGUCAGCCAUUAAUGCUCUUCUUCAGGAUUCAGAUAUUCCAGUAUGCUGGGAAAAUAGAGACUCUCCUGCUGUCUCUCCAUCUUCAAAUGACCAGCUACAGAAUUAUGAGCAACCAAUGCUUGAAGUUGAAGGAAAUGUCCACAGAGUGGAUUUCUCAGCACAUUUAACAAAUGAGAUAAGAGUGUCUGCCUCUGAAUAUCCUCCUCAGGGAAAGGUGGAUGGAUCCAAUCCAUAGCCGGGCAAAAAGCUACAACACAUUUUUCUGAUGUUAAAAGGCUCUGUGAGUCUAUGAAGACGUGCAGUAUAUAUUUUUAAACAAGGCUGCAGUGGGGAAGCUUUACACCUUGCAUAAUUUGAUUCUGAAAUGUAUCAUGUAUAUACUGAUUCAAUUUAAAAACACAAUGUCUAGCUCUGUAACACGACAAGUUGAUGGAAAUUAGUCAAAGGAAGUACUUUUGUUGAAGGCAAUAUUACUACCUAUACUCACACAAUGAUCUGCAACAGAGAUUGCAGAUCACUGUAUGAUAGAGGCAAAAAACCAAAAUGAUUGUUCAAAGACCUCUUUUACGUAAUAUAAUAUUUUCUCAUAGACUAUCAGUAGAUUUGAUUAAUUUAAACCGUAAUAAUAAUAAUCAAUCGAACUUUCCUCUGAAGUACAGUUCCUGUUCAGAAAUUAUAUGGAUCGAUGGGAAGAGGGGACAAGAAUAAAGCCUUAACAGCAACCACAUCAGGAUUAAACCUAGUUACUGUUUCCAUAGUUAUAUAUUUUCAGUCUGGUGACUUGGUUGAAAUCAGAAAUUCUUCAAACAAGUUACAAAAUUAAUCUUUUGCUUUCCAGUGCUGUGAUCUUUAAAGUGGCGUUGUCACCAAAAUUUGUCUAUGCACCAUCAUUUUCGACUUUACAAACUGCCUAUACCUCAUGUUGAUCAUUUUUACAUCUGUUCAGCCAUUUCUUCAAAAACUAAAUACGAAUUCUAGCAAAUCUUUACCAUGGGCAUGUUGGACACUGUAUCAUCAGUUUUUCAUUUUUUUCUGCACAGUGGAAAGCUGGGAAACAACCCAGCGGAUUGCAGUUUGUGAAUGGCUGUUAUCACAUACUCUCUACAGCCAUUUUUUUAUUAUUUAAAGCCAGUAGCUAUUUCUGAAGGAUUGAAAAAAAAAAUGUGAUGGAAUUCCAGGAAGACCAUCGCUACACUGAAAAACAGUCUUCAAGUGAGUUUUAUGGACCAAAUGUUCUAACUGAUCCCUCGUUUGCUUGAAGCCCCAUUCUCCGCUUGUCGUGUCAACCUACUGGACAGAAGUAUGUUGAGUGCAGUGUGUCUUCACUCAAUUUCUCAUUGCAUUAAGCAUUAUAUUUUUCAGCCUGAUACAGCCAAUAUCCGAUAUCUUCAUACAUGAACUUUACCGUACAUUUCAAUACUUGCAGCACAAAUAUAAUUGAAACAUUUUGUCUUAUUAUUACGAAGAUAAAUCCUUUAUGUGAAAUGUAGUUUUGAAAGCUGUAAGAAACGUGUCUCCCUUCUUCCAGAUUAUUAGCGUUCUGCAUUUCCAACAGUAUUUCUUUCAUUAUGUUUUGUUUUUCUGAUCUCAUCUUUUUAUUUUUUUAUUUUAUCUUACAAAAUAUUUAUUUUGCUUCCAUAGGUUUAUGAUAGAAUUAUGAGUGUGAAAGCAAGUACCAAAGAGAAAAUGUUGCUUAGGUUUACUCCAGAGCCUCCCAUAAAUUAUAUUCGUAUGUGAACCAUGUAAAUUAUAUUUUCAACACAAAUAUAUACAUACAUGCAUGCUAUGUAAACAUGUCUUAUAAAACAUCUGUUUAUGGAAUCGUUUAAUUUUUCUUGCUGACAACUAGAAAGAAAGGGAGCCUUUAAUCUGUUUCUGAAUAUAAAUAAUAUUGGAUAAAAUAAAUGACUGACAUUUUGUUCACUUGUUUUUAAAAAACCCAAUUUAAGCAUUUGCGAAUUAUGAGUCAUAACAAAUUACAGUUUGUGUAUAAACUUACAUGGGAUACUGCUCAUUGCUAACCACUAAAUUGCAUGGCUUCAUUACUCUCCUUAUUUUUAAACUUUUAAAAUACCUUAUUGAUUAGCAAACCAUACACUGAUGUCUAAAUAAAGUGCUUUGGAUGAAAGCUUGUAAUGUGUGAUCAACCAACAGGUGAUCAAUUUGAACCCCGAUAUCACAUUUAGGCACAUGGAUUUCUACAAGGUCAAUAAAACCAUAAACUAUGGCUACUUUAGUUCAACGCAUAUCAUUACUCCCAGGUACGGCAUAAUAUAAUUCAUAGAAUUGAGCACCAAAUGGAUAACUAUAAGACAUUCUGCCUUAAAGGGAAAAUUAAAACAAAAUUAUGUUUGAAUAUAGUUAAGCAUCCUGUUAUAUCUUGUUUCAUAUAGAUGUCACUUUCCACAAUAUUUUAACUGUCAUAUUCUUUGAAUAAACCAAUUAUGUGGAUGA